UCAACUUCACACAAGCAUAAAAUAGAAUCCACAUAUGAUAAAUGCAUCCAAUCAAAUCCAAGACAAACUUCAAAGUGUCUAGAAUCACUCUACAAAAUUUCAAGUCCAUAUGAUAAACAUCAAGCAUUUCACAAAUCCUCUAAAUUCAUGACUCUCAAAAAGUCCACAAAUGGUCAAACAGAAAGGAAAUUCUCAAACAAAUUGGAAAUGCACUCAAAAAUUCUACAAAAAUU
rnacentral:lncRNA from 1 species